UACGAAGGGGGCUAGCGUUGUUCGGAUUUACUGGGCGUAAAGCGCGUGUAGGCGGGUUGUUAAGUUGGAGGUGAAAUCCCGGGGCUCAACCCAGGAACUGCAUUCAAGACUGGCGGGCUGGAAUCAAGCAGAGGCAAGUGGAAUUGCGGGUGUAGAGGUGAAAUUCGUAGAUAUUCGGAGGAACACCAGUGGCGAAGGCGACUAGCUGGGCGUUGAGUGACGCUGAGGCGCGACAGCGUGGGGAGCAAACAGG
rnacentral:rRNA from 1 species